CCUACGGGAGGCAGCAGUGAGGAAUAUUGGUCAAUGGCCGAGAGGCUGAACCAGCCAAGUCGCGUGAGGGAAGACGGCCCUACGGGUUGUAAACCUCUUUUGUCGGGGAGCAAAGCGAACCACGUGUGGUUCAUUGAGAGUACCCGAAGAAAAAGCAUCGGCUAACUCCGUGCCAGCAGCCGCGGUAAUACGGAGGAUGCGAGCGUUAUCCGGAUUUAUUGGGUUUAAAGGGUGCGCAGGCGGCGGUGCAAGUCAGCGGUCAAAUUGCUGGGCUCAACCCCGUACUGCCGUUGAAACUGCAUCCCUCGAGUGGGCGAGAAGUAUGCGGAAUGCGUGGUGUAGCGGUGAAAUGCUUAGAUAUUGCGCAGAACUCCGAUUGCGAAGGCAGCAUACCGGCGGCGAUCUGACGCUGAGGCACGAAAGCGUGGGUAUCGAACAGGAUUAGAUACCCCUGUAGUC
rnacentral:rRNA from 1 species